rnacentral:rRNA from 1 species
GACGAACGCUGGCGGCGUGCUUAACACAUGCAAGUCGAGCGGUAAGGCCCUUUCGGGGAUACACGAGCGGCGAACGGGUGAGUAACACGUGGGUGACCUGCCCUCAGCUCUGGGAUAAGCCUGGGAAACUGGGUCUAAUACCGGAUAUGACCUUGCCUCGCAUGGGGUGGGGUGGAAAGUCCUGGGCUUUGUUGUCUGGGUUCGGUUGGGGAUGGGCCCGCGGCCUAUCAGCUUGUUGGUGGGGUGAUGGCCUACCAAGGCGA